rnacentral:tRNA from 1 species
GACCAUGAAGCUCAGUUGGUAGAGCAGCGGACUGUUAAUCCGACGGUUGUGGGUUCGACUCCCACCAUGGUCGCCA